rnacentral:other from 1 species
CAUCCCCUGCAUGGUUUGUGAUGGGUUCCACGAUUGUAGAACCAACAUUCAUUCCACGGGAGUCUUUUACCUGCGGCGCCUGUGCCAGCCUCGCUUCGACGAGGACGCUGAGGGCUCGUAGAGCGGACACCCACCUGGUGCGUUUCAGGUUCUAAACGCCGGCCCACACGGCUGUGCGGGGGAUGC